AGUCGUCGGAGAUGGAGAGGCGGCUGAAGAUGGGUAGGCGACGGCCAGGGUCCAGGCUGGGGGACUCGGAGCCGCUGAGGCUGCCGGAGCUCAGCGAGCCGCUCAGAUGUUCCGUGAGAUAUGAAACCACCCCAUCUUAUAGAUGCUGAAACUGACACCACAGAAUGAUGCCAACUAAGUCAGAAGGGAAGUGACUUCUGACUGCAGUCUGACAAUACAUGAAAGACCCUAACACUCUGAGUGACCGCCACAGUGACCCGGCCGGGCAGUACUCACACUGAGGGUCAGAGGUGAUGAGGUUUAUGAGUGAGUAGAGCAUCUUGCUAAGACAUUUUACUAAGCUGUGGAGAAAUCAAGUCAGGAUGGUGGCAGGGCAGAUCACACACCUCCUGCCAUGGUCCUCUUUGUUGCCUCUUGGUCUUUGAGAACUGAGACUUCUCUUCAGCUGAGAGUAUUCUAUCCCCAGUCCUCGCCAGAAACUAAAACCUAACUCCACCGGCCUCCUGCUGGACUCUGAGGAACAUGCUCCAUGGAGGACUGAAGUACCAGUGUGACCUGACCUAAGCCUGCAAGGCUCAUUAUGGCUCACAAGGGAGGCUGCACAGGAAAGCCCACCACCCUGAGGUCCAGAUCCACCUGCCUUUCCACAACCAAAGAGAGCUACAGAAACCAGGUCACAGUCUGAUGCAAGCCACUCUAGGUGCUAACCUGUCAGCUACCUUGCUGAUGCAAGAUAUUCUCUAUCCUGAAAAUCUCUAUCCUUAAAAAGCUUCUGGUGUGGGUGAGCCGAUGAGACUCCUGACCAACAAACACCAGAACUGAAGAAGGUGGGUGUGACCAAAGUCGUCUGAGUUCUGAUGUCCAAAAGGCCAUGUGGAAAAGGAGGUCCAAGGAGCUGGCUAGGCCUUAGGAACCUAAGACUAAUGGGCUGACUUAGCACAGGCCAUGACAACACUCCCACAGACAUGAAGUAGGUAUAGGCAGGGUGACUCUAAAAGGACCUGGGACUCUACCCAUUCUUGGGUCUUUCCACAGUGUCACUCUGCCAUAUCCCUCCUGCAUGUCUUUAUUCUUUAGCCUCUACUAGGUGCUGUCACCCAGUCACUUCUCUUCCCAUCACUUCUAACGAUAUGGUGAUUGUAAUUGCAAGGUGUGUGUGCUUGUCUUCUAAGUAAGCCUUUACAUUUCAGGCAAUGGAUGGGGCUAAAAUGUCACACGGAUCCACAUUCACUUGAUUUUAUUUUAUUUUUUUAAUUUUGAGACAGGAUUUCUGUGUAGCCCUGGCUAUCCUAGAACUCGCUCUAUAAACCAAGCUGGCCUCAAACUCACAGAUAUCCACCUGCCUCUGCCUCUCAAGUACUGGGAUUAAAUGUGUGUGUCACUAC
rnacentral:lncRNA from 1 species